UACGUAGGUGGCGAGCGUUGUCCGGAUUUACUGGGCGUAAAGGGAGCGUAGGCGGACUUUUAAGUGAGAUGUGAAAUACUCGGGCUCAACUUGAGUGCUGCAUUUCAAACUGGAAGUCUAGAGUGCAGGAGAGGAGAAUGGAAUUCCUAGUGUAGCGGUGAAAUGCGUAGAGAUUAGGAAGAACACCAGUGGCGAAGGCGGUUCUCUGGACUGUAACUGACGCUGAGGCUCGAAAGCGUGGGGAGCAAACGGG
rnacentral:rRNA from 1 species